rnacentral:rRNA from 1 species
GACGAACGCUGGCGGCGUGCUUAACACAUGCAAGUCGAACGGAAAGGCCCUGCUUUUGUGGGUUGCUCGAGUGGCGAACGGGUGAGUAACACGUGAGUAACCUGCCCUUGACUUUGGGAUAACUUCAGGAAACUGGGGCUAAUACCGGAUAGGAGCUCCUGCUGCAUGGUGGGGGUUGGAAAGUUUCGGCGGUUGGGGAUGGACUCGCGGCUUAUCAGCUUGUUGGUGGGGUAGUGGCUUACCAAGGCUUUGACGGGUAGCCGGCCUGAGAGGGUGACCGGCCACAUUGGGACUGAGAUACGGACCAGACUCCUACGGGAGGCAGCAGUGGGGAAUAUUGCACAAUGGGCGGAAGCCUGAUGCAGAAACGCCGCGUGCGGGAUGACGGCCUUCGGGUUGUAAACCGCUUUCGCCUGUGACGAAGCGUGAGUGACGGUAAUGGGUAAAGAAGCACCGGCUAACUACGUG